GACGAACGCUGGCGGCGUGCCUAAUACAUGCAAGUCGAACGAAAAGACCCGGAGCUUGCUCCGCUCACGUUAGCGGCGGACGGGUGAGUAACACGUGGAUAACCUACCUAUAAGACUGGGAUAACUUCGGGAAACGGGAGCUAAUACCGGAUAAGAUAUUGAACCGCAUGGUUCGAUGGUGAAAGACGGUGUUGGUGUCACUUAUAGAUGGAUCCGCGCGUGAUUAGCUGGUUGGUAAGGUAACGGCUUACCAAGGCAACGAUGCCUAGCCGACCGGGAAGGGGGUCGGCCACCUGUGGAACUGAACAACGCCCCAGACACCUAGGGAGGGCAGAGGUAGGGAAUCUUCGGAAAUGGGGGAAAGCCUGACGGAGAAACGCGGGGGGGGUGAGGAAGGUCUCCGGACGGUAAAACCCGGUUAUAGGGGAAAAACAAAUGUGUAGGUAACGAUGCACGUCUGACGGGAACCAAAUAAGAAGCCCCGGCUAAAUACGUG
rnacentral:rRNA from 1 species